CCGUCGAUAGCUCAGUUGGUAGAGCGGUGGACUGUAGAGGUGCCCUGCUGACAUCCAUAGGUCGCUGGUUCGAAUCCGGCUCGACGGA
rnacentral:tRNA from 1 species